UCUUCUUCUCUUUCGCAUCAACUUUCACGUCGCUGCGUUUUCUUUGUAGCUCUAUUCAACAUUCUUGGGCUUAUGCAGUUACAACUUUUGAUGUAGCUUUCAGUCUCUUUUGGCUAAUCUGAUGACUUCGAAAGAAGUUUUGACGAAGAUCUAAGCCCCUCAGCAAAAUGGAUUCUCUAUGAUAGUUUGAUAUUCUUCAUCUUCUCAGGCAGGGAUGAUAAAAUAAUGUAAAACAGAUGCCAAAGACAUAAAUUCUGGCCUUUGUUCAAGACACAUACUAAGGGAUUUCUUGACCAGCAGGUACUACAUAUAAGCCUUGUGGGUACUCUAAACGAAUCUUUUCAGGGUGCAAAGAGCUAGAUCUGCUGGCCUUUGUUCAUUUCACAUCCAAAGGAACUUCCUGAGCUGCACAAAGCACAAAUGUGCAGUGCUUUUUGCUUGACAUGGCUACAGGAAUUACAUACGACAUUCAUGGGGAAUCAUCCACUUCUUGGGCAUUAACUUACUGAACAUGAAGGGGCAAAUUGCAUGAGAUUAAUUACUUGGAUGAUGUUCAAUGCUAUAAAAUUUGGUGCUACACACCUGACCAGUGUUUCUGCCAGUUAUAAAGGUACCACAACUACACCAAUAGUUAUUUUGAUUGAUCACAACAAAUUUUCAGACAGCUGGAAGCCUGGAACAACACAUGGCACGUGUUGUGCUUUCCCAUUAUUGCUUAAAUUUACAUGGAUAGCUGGUUUGUACCAUAAUUCUGUGGCAAACUUAAAAGAAAAUUUCAAACAUGUUCUUACAGUCCUGCUUAAUUACUGUAUC